rfam:Methanosarcina acetivorans str. C2A, complete genome.
GCGAGGGUUGCCCAGCCAGGUCAAAGGCGCUAGGUUGAGGGCCUAGUUUCGUAGGAAUUCGUGGGUUCGAAUCCCAUCCCUCGCA